CACCCCAUCAUUGUUGUGAUUAUUUCUCUCUGUUUUUCAGGGGCGUAAGAGUUACACUUUGGGAGGACAAACCAAGAGCAACAAGACUGUCAGAGGAUUGCGAAGUUUUAAAACCAACAGAAGCCAACUAAAAGAAGAUAUAAGGAUGGAAAAGAUGGAAUACGAAGCGGAUAUUUAAGAUGUUUCGAGGGCAACAGCCCAUUGAUGACUCCCUAAGCAAAAUACCAACACUUGAAGAAGUCGAGGAAGCUAUCAAAACCUUGGAAAAACAACAAGGCCGCUGGAUUCGAUGGAAUACAAGCCGAAGGCUACAAAAUUGGAGCUAACCUGCUUCAUUAUCAACUGCAUCAACUUCUCAUCAAUUCUCUAAGUAUCUAUUAAAUGUUGCUAUGUUUUGUUCAGUUGUAUACAUGUGUAUUGGUUGACAAUAAACUUGAACUUGAACUCUCCUGGUACCAAGUCCCAGAAACCUACCACUCCCUGUGUAAACCUUCACCCUCUCCUUUAAAUUUGCCCCAUCUCAUCUUAGACCUACACCCUCUAAUAGUUGACAAAUCCUCACCGGGAAAAAGUCUCUGACCACCUACCCUAUCUGUGUUCUUAUAAUAAGACACUCAUCCCUCAGCCUUCCAUGCUCCAGAGGAAACAAUAUAAAUUUGUUGAACUUCUCCCUGUGGCUAAUACUCUAAUCCAGGCAAUAUCCUGGUGAAGUACUUCUGCACUCUCCCCAAAGGCUUCACAUGCUUGCUGCAAUGCAACAACCAGAACUAAACACAGUACUUCAAACUUAGCUUAACCGAAGUAUUAUACAGCAACAAUAUGGGCUUCCCAACAUUUAUACUCUGCUCCCCAACCCAUGAAGGCAAGCAUGCUGUACAGUGCCUACCAAAAGUAUUCACCUCC